rnacentral:rRNA from 1 species
GACGAACGCUGGCGGCGUGCUUAACACAUGCAAGUCGAACGGAAAGGCCCUGCUUUUGUUGGGUGCUCGAUUGGCGAACGGGUGAGUAACACGUGAGUAACCUGUCCUUGACUUUGGGAUAACUUUAGGAAACUGGGGCUAUUACCGGGUAGGAGCUCCUGCUGCAUGGUGUGGGUUGGAAAGUUUCGGCGGUUGGGGCUGGACUCGCGGCUUAUCCGCUUGUUGGUGGGGUAGUGGCUUACCAAGGCUUUGAAGGGUAGCCGGCCUGAGAGGGUGACCGGCCACAUUGGGACUGAGAUACGGCCCAGACUCCUACGGGAGGCAGCAGUGGGGAAUAUUGCACAAUGGGCGGAAGCCUGAUGCAGAAACGCCGCGUGCGGGAUGACGGCCUUCGGGUUGUAAACCGCUUUCGCCUGUGACGAAGCGUGAGUGACGGUAAUGGGUAAAGAAGCACCGGCUAACUACGUG